AGGACGAACGCUUGCGGCGUGCCUAAUGUAUGCAAGUCGAGCGGGGGCGGUCCCUUCGGGGACUUUCCUAGCGGCGAACGGUUGAGUAACACGUAGGCAACCUGCCCCGAAGUCGGGAAUAACGCAUCGAAAGGUGCGCUAAUACCGGAUGUGGACCUGCUUCGCAUGAAGGAGUGUCUAAAGCAGCAAUGCGCUUCGGGAUGGGCCUGCGGCCUAUCAGCUAGUUGGUGGGGUCACGGCCUACCAAGGCGACGACGGGUAGCUGGUCUGAGAGGAUGGUCAGCCAGACAGGGACUGAGACACGGCCCUGACUCCUUUGGGGGGGCAGCAAUGAGGGAUAUUGCGCAAUGGGGGAAACCCUGACGCAGCGACGCCGCGUGGUGACGAAGUCCUUCGGGAUGUAAGCCCUUUUAGGGGAUGAGAACGGACAGUACCCCGUGAAUAAGCCCCGGCUAACUACGUGCCAGCCAGCCGC
rnacentral:rRNA from 1 species